rnacentral:sRNA from 1 species
UCAGUUCCGAUAGCUUGCCCAACACUAAC